rnacentral:rRNA from 1 species
GGGGAAUAUUGCGCAAUGGGGGAAACCCUGACGCAGCAACGCCGCGUGGAGGAAGAAGGUCUUCGGAUUGUAAACUCCUGUCUUCUGGGACGAAAAAAAUGACGGUACCCGAGGAGGAAGCCACGGCUAACUACGUGCCAGCAGCCGCGGUAAUACGUAGGUGGCGAGCGUUGUCCGGAAUUACUGGGUGUAAAGGGAGCGUAGGCGGGAAAGCAAGUUGAAUGUUAAAUCUAUCGGCUCAACCGGUAGCUGCGUUCAAAACUGUUUUUCUUGAGUGAAGUAGAGGCAGGCGGAAUUCCUAGUGUAGCGGUGAAAUGCGUAGAUAUUAGGAGGAACACCAGUGGCGAAGGCGGCCUGCUGGGCUUUUACUGACGCUGAGGCUCGAAAGUGUGGGGAGCAAACA